rnacentral:rRNA from 1 species
GAAGCGGCAACAGCUCAAAUUUGAAAUCUGGCCCUCGGGUCCGAGUUGUAAUUUGUAGAGGAUGCUUUUGGCGCGGUGCCUUCCGAGUUCCCUGGAACGGGACGCCUUAGAGGGUGAGAGCCCCGUACGGUUGGACACCAAGCCUCUGUAAAGCUCCUUCGACGAGUCGAGUAGUUUGGGAAUGCUGCUCUAAAUGGGAGGUAAAUUUCUUCUAAAGCUAAAUAUUGGCCAGAGACCGAUAGCGCACAAGUAGAGUGAUCGAAAGAUGAAAAGCACUUUGAAAAGAGGGUUAAAUAGCACGUGAAAUUGUUGAAAGGGAAGCGUUUGCGACCAGACCUCUCCCCGGCGGAUCAUCCGGCGUUCUCGCCGGUGCACUCCGCCGGGCUGAGGCCAGCAUCGGUUCCCGCGGGGGGACAAAAGCGGGGGGAACGUAGCUCCCUCGGGAGUGUUAUAGCCCUCCGCAUAAUACCC